rnacentral:rRNA from 1 species
CAGUAGCCACGGGAAUACGAAGGGGGCUAGCGUUGUUCGGAUUUACUGGGCGUAAAGGGCGCGUAGGCGGGCUGAUAAGUCAGGGGUGAAAUCCCAAGGCUCAACCUUGGAACUGCCUUUGAUACUGUUUGUCUUGAGUUCGAGAGAGGUAAGUGGAACUGCGAGUGUAGAGGUGAAAUUCGUAGAUAUUCGGAAGAACACCAGUGGCGAAGGCGGCUCACUGGCUCAUUCUAGACGCUGAGGUGCGAAAGCGUGGGGAGCAAACAGGAUUAGAUACCCCUGUAGUCCCUGUCUCUUAUAC